UACGAAGGGGGCUAGCGUUGCUCGGAAUCACUGGGCGUAAAGCGCACGUAGGCGGGUCGUUAAGUCAGGGGGUGAAAUCCUGGAGCUCAACUCCAGAACUGCCCUUGAUACUGGCGAUCUCGAGUUCGGGAGAGGUGAGUGGAACUGCGAGUGUAGAGGUGAAAUUCGUAGAUAUUCGCAAGAACACCAGUGGCGAAGGCGGCUCACUGGCC
rnacentral:rRNA from 1 species